rnacentral:rRNA from 1 species
CCUACGGGUGGCUGCAGUGGGGGAUAUUGCACAAUGGGGGGAACCCUGAUGCAGCGACGCCGCGUGGGUGAAGGAGGGCUUCGGCAUGUAAAGCUCUAUCGGCAGGGAAGAAGCCAGACGGUACCUGACUAAGAAGCCUUGGCUAACUACGUGCCAGCAGCCGCGGUAAUACGGAGGGGGCGAGCGUUAUCCGGAUUCACUGGGUGUAAAGGGAGCGUAGACGGCCAAGGAAGCCAGGGGUGAAAGCCCGGGGCCCAACCCCGGGACUGCCCUUGGAACUGACUGGCUGGAGUGCGGGAGGGGCAGGCGGAAUUCCUGGUGUAGCGGUGAAAUGCGUAGAUAUCAGGAGGAACACCGACGGCGAAGGCAGCCUGCUGGACCGCGACUGACGUUGAGGCUCGAAAGCGUGGGGAGCGAACAGGAUUAGAUACCCUAGUAGUC